AGGGCCCCUAUGCUUGCACACUGGGGAUCAGACCUCUACCUUCACCCAUGAGGCUUGCUUGCAGCAAUUAAGAUCUGGCCAUAGGUUAAUUAAUAUCCUGGCCUUUUGAUGCACCUGCCGCAAGCAAAACACAAUCUCCCCAGGAGUGGCUUGGCAUGAUUGAGAGAGAGAAGAACAGGUGAGGGUAGAGGGCGAGGCUGGAGCUUCCUUCCUUAGCUAAGACUUGUAAAUAUCCUGCUGCUGAACUGGACAGUCUAAAAUGGUGAAAAGUCUCUGUUAUAUUACAUGUUUUUACCACAUACACACACACAAACACACACACACACACACACACACAAAUGCUUAUAAAGAAAUAUACAUGGGGGCUGGAAAGAUGGCUUAGUGGUUAAGAGCACUGACUGCUCUUCCAGAGGUCCUGAGUUCGAUUCCCAGCAAACACAUGGUGGCUCACAACCAUCUGUAAUGGGAUCUGAUGCCCUCUUCUGGUGUGUCUGAAGACAGCUACCGUGUACUCUAAAUGUGUGUGCGUGUGUGAGUGUGUGUGCGUGUCUGUGUGUGUGUGUGUAUGUAUGAGAGUGUGUGUGUGAGUGUGCGUGUGUGUGUGUGUGCAUGUGUGUGUGUACGCGUGUGUGUGUGUGUGAAUGUGAGUGUGCGUGUGUGUGUGUGUGUGUGUGCGAGUGUGUGUGUGCGUGUGUGAGUGUGUGUGUGUGCGUGUGUGAGUGUGCGUGUGUGUGUGCAUGUGUGUGUGUGCGUGUGUGUAUAUGUGUGUGUAUGAGAGUGUGUGUGUGUGUGAGUGUGAGUGUGCGUGUGUGUGUGUGAGACAGUGAGAGAGAGGAGUCAACAUGAGCUAUAUUCUGCAAAGGUUCCAUAAUAGAAGCAUGUUUCUAUUGUAGUAAUUUCUGUGAUUAUAACUUCAUAUAUUGAGAGGUUUAUUGUUC
rnacentral:lncRNA from 1 species